CCCCAAUCCAUCUGGGGGGAACGAGUGUGUUUCGUCCCCUAUCUGCUAAGGGGCGUAGGAUUUCCAAUUCAUCCAUUCCUCCGAGGGCUUCUGGAAUAUUAUGGCCUCCAGCUGCAUAACUUUACUCCAGCCUCCAUCCUGCACAUUAGGGGUUAUGUCGCUUUAUGCGAACUAUUCCUGGGUUGUGAGGCCCAUUUUGAACUGUGGAGAAAGUUAUUCUGCCUUGUCCCGCGUAACCAUGAAGGAUCGAUAUUUGAAGUGGGCGGAGCCGAAAUAUGGCGCAUUGCCGAGACCGGAUACCUAUCCAGCACGCCGAAGAAGGCGUCUGAAGAGUGGACUUUCGAGUGGUUCUACAUCGAGGACGUUGUACUUCCAGACCCAGCCUGGAGGGGUCUUCCUGAGUUCACAAGUGUUCCCUUGAAGAAACGUCACAGCAGGCGCCCUCGGAGCCUCGAAGAGGAAGAUAGUGCGGAGGUUCGCCAACUCUUGAGCAAGAUAAGGAUGCUCGCCUAG
rnacentral:rRNA from 1 species